ACUGAGAUCAUGACCUGAGCCGAAGUCAGACGCUUAAGUGACUGAGCCACCCAGGUGCCCCUGAUAAUGGCUUUUGUUAGUUAAACAAGUCCCUGACUUGACUGUUCUUUGGGUUCCUAAUCCAUAAAAUGGGGGGAAAAUCCUUUUUAUUGUGCAAGUGCUUCUUUUGCAGUAUAAUUGGACUUUCUCUUAAAGGCCAACUGAAUAAAACCCAUCUCCUCUUUUUCUGCUGUCCCAUUCCCAAAACACAAGGAAGGAAGAUUUAUCACGAAGCCAGAAGGCGGUGUUGUUCUCCUAUGAUUCCUACUUAGGGACCAUGGUAAGGACAGACGAAAUGCCCCGUGUGACUGGAUAGGGGUAGAAAACUGUACUAAGGCUCGUAGUACAAGUGCCUCCCAAUGAUCAGGACAUCCUACUGGACAGCUUCUACUCGCCAUGAAAAGGCUCGAGAAACGCGAUUCCUCCACAACCCCUGACUUCGCUUCUCAGAUCCUUUUACUAAACCUCACAUGGGGCAGGGUCCCUGUAUCCUCAUCCCAGACUGUCUCCUUAUUCGAAAAUCAGUCACCAAGGCAACGCGUGGAGACAGUACAGCAGAGUCAUAAAGAGCUGCGGGGUCCGGAAGACCUGGUUUUGAAUUCCCAUCAUGCCGCUCACUAGCUGUGGGUCCUCUGCUACAUUGCCAAGCCUCGAGAACCUUCAUAUUCUCGCGGGAAUAUGGCGAUGGUAGCAAGCUACCUUUGGGAGGGGUUGUAAGAAUGGCGUCACAAAUGUCUAGUGCACUUAGUAUGCCAAAAGAGUUCCACGUGUGCCACCAUCUAUUCAUUAAAAUUACUUCCGAAGUAGGAAAAUGGUGGCAGAGAAGAUUUUUAGCGAUGGGGCCAGCCUCCGCUUGAACACCUUCCUCUGUUGUCUGUGAUCCAGACUCUCACACUGACGCUCCUUAAACACACGGUUGGUGUCUCCACAGGCGUCCAAUGCCGUUUCAUCCCGGAAUGCUUUCUUCAUCUCUGCGAGCACUCCUCGUGUUUCCUUUUCUUCACCUCUUAAAAAAUAUCAUCGAAGGUCGUGAUGAAUCGCAACAGUCUGGCCUGAGGAUUGGGCAGUGUAUCAAUUCCAAAUCGAAUACGGCCUCAGAUGAUGUUGGGAGUGACUUGUUCAUCUAAUCCACUCCCGACAUCUAAUGCGUCUCAGGAGGAAUGUGAGAGCAUUCGUAGGCAACUAACGGCUUUCUCUUGACCGACAACAGAGAGAGAUCGCGGUGAUCUCACUUUGCCAGAUGGGGAGACCAAGGCCCAGGGAUACAAAAAGGACCAAACCAAGGUGAACAAACAAUGUAGGUGCAGAUGUCAAAAUGCUUCUAUUGGGGCUCAAGAUUAAAUAGGAAGUCCCAACCCACUCCCUCUCCUACCCUGAUUUCCUAUAGGAUAAAUUGUUAUUUAUUUUUUUUUAAGAGAAACUCACAAGUGAAAGAAAGACACAACCGUACGAGGACACGUGGUUAACCUGGUGCUAACAUGCACAAGCUCCACUGGAAUGGUGGCAUGAGAAGCCUGGUAACAUGAGCUAAAGCCAGUUCCGAUCUGUGCUUCCUGGCCUGGCGGACAAAGCCCUUUGUGAUCCAGCCCCAGCCUGUUUUGCCAACCCUGGCGUUUUCCACUCCCCAACUGGAAACUGAAACCCUUUGUAACCUCCAUACUCAACUCCCCAAACUCCCAGUAGCUCGUAGAGAGCUGCCUGACUGUAUAUCCUUCCCUUCCAGCACUCUGCAGUCCCGUCUAACUUCUUAUCCCUCCCUCUGGCCUGAGCAUCAGUGCGUCUGGGAAUACUCUCCAGCCCUCCUGGAGGACUCCCCUCCUCUGUGUUUCCACGGUACCCUGGAAGCACUCCUGUAAUAAUAGUACCUCGUACUGUGUGACCUGCUUCCUUGUCUGCCUUCCUCACCGGACCAAGAGCGCCUUUAGAGUGGGCCCCGUUGCUUUGUAUCUUAAGUGCCUGGCACACACUGGGCCUUCAAGAAAUGCCUGUAACUCACCAAAAUGUAAGAACGUCUUCCUCGAUGUCUUUUUCUUUCGCUAAUACGUAAUAAUCCCCCUCUCUAUAGAGUAAGGAUAUGGCCUUAGCAGCCUUGUUAUAUGGACUCAGUAUGACUCACCUAAAUUGAAAAAGAAUGAUAGGUUGCUGCCCUCAAAAGUAUGGUCAGAGGUCAUCGUAUACAUUCCCAUCAACACCAGUGUGAAUAUGAGUUUUCUGGAAACCUGGAAAUAUUUCAGUAAUGAAAAGCCACAAAAGGCAGCAGUCUGCAUUAGAAAUAAGGGCACGUUAAGCUUCAAGUGGGCUCAAAUGGCAUGUUCAGAUAAGUUCGGCUUUCAAGAAUCAAGAACAAAGCUUCCAACUUGUUACUCCUUCGUGUUGGAACACAUGCGACUGGAGUGAUUUGCACCCGGAUGCUUAGACCCGCCAUCUGCUCAGAGACUACUCAGAAAGAUCCACCCAUGCACUCUCCAGCUGCACACCAACCUGCCCUGCCUGCAGCUGUUAUUUCCCAGGACUCCGUACCUAUGCCACAGUGUUUGAAGCCGUGCUUCAAGGAAUCAUGAAAGCACUUGCCUGGACCUGCUACACAGCCUAAGUAUAGCCGACUCUACUUGGCGAUCCUACAAUUACCCUGAUGUUACUGGUGUCUAAACCAAGGCCCAGAAAGGUAGUUUCAUCCUUCCAAGAUCCCACAGCCAAUGAGUGGAAAGUGAAGCCAGGCGAGUCUGAUGUCGUCGUCCAUCUGCCACCUUGCCCUCCGGAAACAUCAAAGAGUCCAACACAUCUGAGCUGAGAAGAUAGGUCACCACUAGAGAAAUCGCUGUGGGACUCAUUUGCAAAAGGUGCCUGUUCAUAACUGAAGCUGGAAACACGAACGACACAGCAGAGGGAUGUAGAGGUCCUUGACGGGAGCAAGGAGGGAUGCCCCCAUCUUGGAGAGAAGUAGAGCAAGAGGAACUCUUGAGAACCACAGAGAAACUAAGAGGAGAGCUAACAGGAGGAUCAUGGGACUGAGACAGAAAGCUUUGUCAGCGAAUACACGGCCAAGGACAUCAAAGGCUGCAGAAGUGUCUUGGAAGGGAGGAACGGGGCAGCAGGAUAGGAGUAAAGGAAAGGUGUUGAGUGCA